rnacentral:rRNA from 1 species
GAGCGGCGAACGGGUGAGUAACACGUGAGUAACCUGCCCCUGACUCUGGGAUAAGCCUGGGAAACUGGGUCUAAUACCGGAUAUGACACUNUNUCNGCAUGGAANGGGUGUGGAAAGUUUUUUCGGUUGGGGAUGGGCUCGCGGCCUAUCAGCUUGUUGGUGGGGUAGUGGCCUACCAAGGCGACGACGGGUAGCCGGCCUGAGAGGGCGACCGGCCACACUGGGACUGAGACACGGCCCAGACUCCUACGGGAGGCAGCAGUGGGGAAUAUUGCGCAAUGGGCGGAAGCCUGACGCAGCGACGCCGCGUGGGGGAUGACGGCCUUCGGGUUGUAAACCUCUUUCAGCAGGGACGAAGUUGACGUGUACCUGUAGAAGAAGCGCCGGCUAACUACGUGCCAGCAGCCGCGGUAAUACGUAGGGCGCAAGCGUUGUCCGGAAUUAUUGGGCGUAAAGAGCUCGUAGGUGGCUUGUUGCGUCUGCCGUGAAAGCCCGUGGCUUAACUGCGGGUCUGCGGUGGAUACGGGCAGGCUAGAGGCUGGUAGGGGCAAGCGGAAUUCCU